rnacentral:lncRNA from 1 species
UUUUUUUCACAUAUUCUUUCUUAAGUGUUCUUGCCCUGCUCAUGGCUUGCUAAACGCUUUGAUUCCACAAAAUAAGGCAAUCACUUACUGAAAUGAGAAGAGCUAGGAGAUUGACUUGAAGAUGUUUAAGUGAUUUUAACUUAAAGAUAAGGGGGAAAGCCACCAUGGGAAGCCACAAGGAGCAGCCGUAGAUAACCCCCUGCAUUCAACUGUUUACUUUUCGCAUUGUGAAAUGGUCAUGGAUAGCCCCCUCCGCUACUCUUUCCUACCUUUCUCUUUAUUGUUAAAUUAUUGUUUUUCAUGUUGGGAGACAGGAUUUCAUCUCAUCUUUAUAUUUUUAGUUUAAUAUCACAUGAAUUAAUUUUUUUAUUAAAAAUGGAUAUGAAUCUUGAUUUGAGUUCAUUUGUAACAACCAGUUUUUCAAUGGUGUCAAAACUAGUGGUUUUGGAACCACAAAUUCAAUGAGUGAGUCUAUAAAUAUUAUUAUUUAAUAUUUGGGAGUCAAUUAUAAUAUUAUAUUGAACUAUGGUUUAAUGAUUUUUAUAAAUUGAAAGAAUAGAUAAGUGCAAGUGGUUGUCCCUAAGAGUCAAGUCCGUAAAUCAAGCCCAUAAAUAUUUUUAUUAAAUAUUUACGGAGUUACUAUAUUGGUGUAUUGAAGUUCGGUCUAGAAAUUUUAGUGAUUCGAUAAUUAAUUAAGGUAAAAGGAUUAAAUUGUAAAAUAGGUAAAAGUUAAUUGAUAUAGAUUUGAAAUAGUAAAGGGACCAAAACGGUGAUUAAACCAUGGUCAAAAAUUCCAAGCUAUGGUGGAUAUGAUUAAUCCAAUAGCUUUUGGGCUAUUUGCUUAUUUAGUCCUAUAAGUUUAGGGUUAAAUUGAAUUUAAGCUUGUUUAGUUAAAAUUUUAAAAUAAUUGAAGAACCAUUUGUGCAAUUAAACCCUCCUUAUAUAGUAAUUAUACUAUUUUAUAUAAUGAGGCGGUUAAUAAGUGAAUUUUUAUAUAUAAUACAUAUUAAUUCUUUUACGAUUCAAUUAAUAAUAAAGUAUAAUAUCAUAAAAUAUAUAUAUAUAAUAAGAAAUAAAAAUAGUGGGGGUUAUCAUCUUCUUUCUCUCUUUAUUUUUUAGCCGAAACACCAUUGUUCUAAGAUCGGGAGCUUCGUUUUGCCUUUUCUUGGUGCAUGUAGGUAUUUUCUUAGUUUAUUUAUCAUGAAUUUUAAGUUUUGAGCUAAUUGUAAUGGAAUCUAGCAAGUUUGGGGAUUAAAUUGUGAAAUCAUCAAAGUAUAGAAAUUAUGCUAUUGAAAUUUUUGGAGUUUUUUAGUUGUAUUUGGUUUGGGUUGAAGCUUGGUGAUGAUUUUUGUUGAGUUUGCAAAGUAAUUUUUAAGUAAAUUGUAAAUUUAAGGAUUUAUUGUAAGUAUGUAAAAUUAGCAUGUUUCUUUUAAAAUUCCAAAGGUUUUGUUGCUGGUUCGGAAUAGUUAAACAUCAAGCUUAGUGGAUGUAUAAGGUUUAAUUGUGGAAAUAAUGUUGUUUUAGUCUAGGGACAUAUUUGAAUAAAGUAUAAAUGUUUUGGGAAAAUGUGUAAAAUUUUAAAUAAGAAUUUAUAUGUAUUAAAUUGAAUAGUAUAUGAAAUUGAGGUUAAUAUUUGAAAUAAAUUAUAGAUCAAGAUAAAGUAGAUAACCGAGGAAAAAGGAAAGUUGCGGAAUAAUCCUAGAACUUUUGCCAUUACUAUAGUUUAGCCCUGGUAAGUUCGUUCGAUUUAAUUUAAUAUGUUUUGUGAUGCAUAUUGUGUGAAAAACUUGAUUGUUGAAUGUUAAUUUCAUAUAUUCAAUGUUAAAGUGAUGAGAAUUUAAAUAGUGAAUUGUAUAUAACACUGAUUAGUGAAGUUAUCUCCUGUGCCGGAUGAACGUAGGAUAGAGUACAAUUGGAAUGCCAAUAGGUUAUAGUGCGUGCUACACGGGAUUAAUUUGAGACAAGAUGAUGAUUCCAGCUAAUUUCAUGUUCACUGAAUAUACCGAAUUCCUGCAUUUGUUGUGGACUAUUGUGUUAUAUUGAUAGUGUUUCUGCCGUGUUAUAUUGGCGUGUUUCUGAAUAUACCGAAGUCCUGCAUUCUUGUUUGAGUAUAGACUCACCUACUGUUAACUGUGAUUUGACUUGAAUGUAAGGUAGUUUUUGAACUUAAAAGCAUCCAAUUGAUAUAUGCUUGUGACUUGAUAUCAUAGUCUAAAUGUUGGAUUGUUUAAGUAUUUAAAUGGCGGUGUCAAUGAUGGCACAUUUGUUAGGCACAUAAGUUUAUUGUUUUGGGAUGUUUGAGUCUCUUUGAAUGUGUUUUGAAGGCUUGUAGACAUGUGUUUUUGGUAUGUCUUGGAACUUAAAGCAAUUGGUAUAUAAAUGGAUUGUUUUAGGGGAAAACCUAGUAGCACACGGACACGGGCUGUCACACUAUCGUGUGCCACACACGGCCAACCCACACGGUCGUAUGUCCUUAUUAUUCUAGGUGCAGGUUGCGCAUAGUCUGGCACAUAGCCUGCGACACAGUCGUGUAACCCAAGUCAAUGAGUAACAUAGGCAAACAAACUAGCUGAGACAUGGUCGUGUGUCCCAUAUUUCAAAUGUCUACACGGCCUGGCCACACUGCCAUGUGACGCCUAUUUUGAAAUUUUUUGAAUUUUCUCUAAACUUUCUAAUUUGUUUCGAAUUAGAUAAUGAUUAUUUCUAAACUAUUUUUAAGGUCUCGUAGACUCGAAAUAAGGCUUACAAGUGUAGUUUAACAUUGGUUGACAUGUAUCAUUGAGUAGUAUUAUUUAAUUUGUAAACUUGAUUAUGUUUGAAGUUAAAUGUUCUGAAUUGUAUUGUAAUACUCCGUAAUCUUAAUCCGGGGAUAGAGAAGAGUUAGGGGUGUUACAUCAUUGGUGUUUGUUUUCUGAAUAUUCUGUGCAAGUGAUUAUUUCAUUCAUUUAGGUUUAAUUCAUGUUUAUACUUGUGAAUGUAUGACCAACAUUUGUAGGUAACUGAAUUAACUAUUUAAUCUGGGAAGAGGUAAUAGUUAAUAGAUAUAAGACCUAAAUGGUGUGAUUUAUGUCAAUUUCGGAAGAUAAUUGUUGUAAGUAUAAACUGUGUAAGUACCCAAGAGGGUGAUUUCUAGGAUAGUUUUUUGACAUAGGGAUAUGGUACUUAACUUAGAAACAAAAUAGGACUUCGAGAGGAGCCUAUGCCUUAAUUAAAUGGGUUUAAUGAAUUUUCAUAUUACCAUGAACCUUUUGUGAUAUUCUUUUUAUGACUACUAAUAAAUUAUUGUUAAAGUGAAAUAUUUUAUUUUAGUCUAUUCAUGUUGUAUUAUAUUAUCCCUUGUCGUGAUAUUCUUUCGUGAUAUUGCCAUGAACCAAUUUUAUUAAAAUUAACUUUACAAAUAAUUCACUCAACAGUCCCUAUGGAGGCGAUACUUUUUUACUCACUACUUAUUACUUGUAUGAACGUGUACACUUGCACAUAAUCAGGCAACAACAAGAUUUUGGCGUUAUUGUCGGGGACUGUAUUUUUCAUUAUUUGUGAGGAUAUUUAUUUUUCAAUUUGGUUUAUUUUUAUUUUUAUUUUUACUAUUUUUAUUUUAACUUAUUUAUUUUCAUGAUUUUUCAAGGUUUAUGAAUAUAGACCGAAUUAUCAAUCUAUUGUCAGUUGACCGAGAAAUUGAAUGUAUUUUUAGGCAAAGAAGAAUGGAGAGAUUAGCCAAAGACAAGUCAAUGAGAUGAAUUAAAAUCCAAGAGAAGACGCAUCCUGUAAUAAUCAAAAUUUGAUCCUUAUUACUGAUGAUAGAGAUCGAGCGAUUAGGCAGUAUGUUGUGCCUUUGUUCAGUGAAAUCAAUCUAAAGAUUGUAAGACCCAAUAUUGAGUCCCCUCAGUUUGAGUUAAAGCUAUUGGUGUUCUAGAUGUUGCAAACAAUGGGACAGUUCAGUGGGAUGCCUGCUGAAGAUCCACAUUUGCACCUCUGCUUAUUUAUGCAAGUAAGUUACUCUUUUAAGUUACUAGAAGUAUCUAAAGAUGCCAUAAGAUUGAAUCUUUUCCCAUAUUUGUUGUCAUAUCUCGCACGAGCAUGGUUGAAUUCCUUAACGCCCUGUUCUAUUUCCACAUGGCAAGAAUUGGCAAAACAUUUUCUGUUGAAGUACUUUCCACCAAGAAAGAAUGCUAAGCUUGAAAAUGGAAUUGAUGCGUUUCAGCAAUCCGAUGAUGAGUCCUUGUAUGAGGCAUAGGAACAAUUUAAGUAGUUAUUAUAGAAGCUCCCUUAUCAUUGUAUUCCUUAUUGCAUUCAACUGGAGACCUGUUACAAUGGUCUCAGUGUUCACACAAGAAUGGUGGUAGACACUUCAACUAAUAGAGCUCUUCUUUUAAAGUCAUACAAUGAAGCGUAUGAGAUUCUUGAAAGGAUUUCAAGUAAUAAGUACUAAUGACCUACUCAUCUAGCAGCCAUAUGAAGAAUAGUGGCAAGAGUUCAUGAAGUUGACGCUCUUACAUCUUUAGCAGCUUAGGUAUCUACUAUGACUUCCAUUGUAAAGAAUAUUUAUGUUAAUGGUUGCAACACUAACAUGACAGGUCAGCAAACAAGUUAGUUUGAGAACAUUUCAUGUGCUUACUAUGGUGAUGGUCACACAUUUGAAGAAUGUCAUCUAAUCCUGAAUCUAUUUACUAUGUGGGAAACCAACAUCAAAAUAGGAAUGGCCCAUGUCCACAAUCGAAUCACUAUAAUACUUCAUGGCGACAUCAUCCCAAUUUCUCCUGUAGUAAUCAAUGUAUUGGUCUAAGUAAUUCCUAUAUGUAUUCUCAUUCAAAUCAUUUUCUAGGUUUUUCUCAAUAGAUGCAAAAACCUCAGCCAGCCGAGUUUUCAAAUAGUUUGGAGAAACUACUAAAAGCAUAUUGGCUAACAAAGAUACAACUCUAAGGAAUCUAAAGAAUCAUUUAGCUAAUGAGCUAAGAAACAGACCUCAAGGUGCUUUGCCAAGUGAUACGAAUAACCCCAUAAGCACAUGCAAAGAAGAGUGUAAAACUGUUACUUUUAGGACUGGAAAGGUGUUGGAACCAACAGUUUUUGAAUCCAAAUAUGAGCUUGUUAUUGUCCAAAAUCAGAACUUGAAUCUCCCACUGUGAAAAAUCAUGUUCAUAUGAUCCAUACUGAGGCACAACCGCAACAGAGUAGUCUUGAAGACUCAACACCCAAGGUAGAUGCAGAACCAACACUACCAUCAAAAAGCUAUUCAAUUAAGGUAAAAGCUCCACCACCUCAUUACCCGUAGAUAUUCCAAAAGCAACAACAAGAGGUACACUUUAAGAAAUUCUUAGAUGUACUUAAGCAAUUACGCAUCAACAUUCCAUUGGUAGAGGCACUGGAGCAGAUGUUAAAUUAUGUGAAAUUCAUGAAAGAUAUCCUCUCUAAGAAGAGAUGAUUUGGAGAAUUUGAGGAGACAAUGGCUCUAACUAAUAAGUAUAGUGCAUUCCUGCAAAAUAAGUUGCCACCGAAGAUGAAAGACCCAAUGAUUGAAAUAGGAAACUUCAAUGGAAAUAUGCUUAUGUUUAUGAAAAGGUUGUAUGAAUCAAAUGAUGUAUUAUCUCAUGAAAUGGCUUAUGAUGUGGUUGACCCCAAAAAAUUUAUGCAUAAAUGCACUAACUUGUGUAAUGAUAAUGAUGUUUAGGCUUGUGUCAAGCUUGUGGUUAUGGUUGAUGUUUAUGCUUAUGCUUUGUACUAUGCAAAUGAAACGGGUAAGAAAAGGGAAUGAAAUGGUAAGUUCAUAAUUGGAACGUAAUAUGAUGAUAUGGUAAUGUUAAUGAAUUAAAGGUUAUGUUCAUAGAUGGUAAAUUUCAUAUAUUAUGGAUGAUCUCAUAUGUAACAUGGUGUUAUAUGUAAAAGAGAUUGAUAAAUUAAAUGAUGUACUUAUUUGUGAGAAAUCUACUUAUGCUAUGGAUGAAUUUACCUAUAUCAUGGAUAAGUACACUAACUCGUGAAUUGAUAAUCUUGUUUAAACUUAAGCUAAGCAUUUAGAGUGGAAUGGUAAGUAAGUAAAUAGAAUGGUUCAUAGUCUUGUGAAAAGGUUGAUGAUUAAGUAAUACAACUUAUAAAAUCCUAUUAUGUUAUGAAUGAAAAGUAUAUGUGAUGUUGAGAGACUUAACCAUUUAUGAGUUAAUGGUCAUGUAGUUUUACAAAUUUUAUGGCAUUGGUAUAGGUUUAUAUUUAUCCUAUAAAUUUCAUUAUUGAAAUGGAAUAUUAUGUUUAAAGUUUAUUUGAGCUUACUAAGCAUUCAUUGCUUACAUAGUUAUUUUCAUUUACUUUGUAGAUUAUCGAAAGCUCAACCGAUUGGAAGUUCGUCGGAGAUCAAUCACACGAUCCAAUGGAAAAAUGGGUAGUUUUUGAGUAAUUUGGUUACAGUUUAUAAUGGCAUGUAUAGGACGAUUGUAAUGAUAUUAUAGUGCAUGUGUUAAUGAUGUUUUGGUAUGUGUAAGCUUUGGAAAGCUAUAUUGGUUUGGUACAUCUUAACACCUUACCAAAUUAUGCAAUGUUGAUUACUUUAAAGUGCUUGUUGAUAUGAUUCACUUGGCACGUUGAUGAUAGAUUGAAAAUGGUCACUUGUGACAUUUUUAGUUCAUAAUUGAACUAGGUUAUUAUGUUUGAAAAUGGUUUGAAGGUGAUUUGGUAAGUAUACAUUAUGUAAGUUAACUAUGUUGGUACAUUUGAUGUCUCGUUAGUUUAUGUCAUUGGGACUAUAUCAAGUUCUAUGUUUUGAAUGGCUCAAAUGGCAUGUUUAGUAAUGGAAUAGUAAUGGUCAUAUUUGUGUUUUGAUUUGUUAGAAGCUGAAUUAUGUUUGAUGAUGGAAAUGUGAACAAAUAUGCAUGUGUAUGUAAGCUUUGAUGUUACUUGUGAAGUGCCUUGAAAUGGCAUAUUGGUUGAUUGGUUUGAGGCUUUUGAAUUGGUCAUUAUAUGCAUGUUUAGGUAAGGUUUUUAUGUCUUGAUUAUGUGCACAAAAUGUCUUUAGUUGUAUGCAUGGUUUGGUGUCAGAAAUGACUCGAUUUUGGGAAAAUUCAUGUCCACACGACCUGAAAGACAGGCGCGUGACUCAACCAUGUGUGACACACGGCCAGGCGACACGGUCGUGUGUCCCCUGUAGGUUUUAAUGCAUGCAACUCAGGCUGUUACGCAGCCUAGCACAUGGCCUGGCACACGGGCGUGUGUGGCUAUUUCGAGAGUUGCACAAGUGAGGACAUGGGCUGGGACACGGUCGUGUGUCCCUAUUUUGAUUGUUACACGGCCUGAGACACGGACGUGUGUCUCAGCCAUGUGAGGCACAUGGACGUGUGUCUCAGUUGUGUGAGGCACACGGCCGUGUGACCCUUGUAGUUAAAAUUUUGUAACUUUUUCCUAUACUUUCCAAAUGUUUCCAAUUUAGUCUCAAUUUAUUUCUAAUGUAUUUCUAAGGCCUUAAGGGCUUUAUUUAGGGAGGAUAUGUAUGUAGAUGAUUAUUAUAUCAUAUGUUUAUGAUAUUAUAUGAGACGUAUGUUUAAAUGUUUUGUUUGUACCAUAACACUUCAUAACCCUAAUCUGGCGAUAGAGACAGGUUAGGGGCAUUACAAAAACCGUUUUCAAAUUAGAUUUUUUCCAACAAACAUACUACUCAUUGUUUAGUCAUAGAAUAAUUCAUCAUUCACAUAACACUGAAUUAAGCAUAUUCUUCUCACGAAUUGAACAAAAACAUCUAUUUACCAACUGAGUUCUAGAACUUACCUAGAAGUUUAUGUCAAAUCCAUCCACUAAGAUUUUUCCCUUGCUACACGAGCCUCCUUAGUUAAUACAACAUAACAACCAAUUUAGACUCUCCAAUCAUCAAAAGAAUCAUACUUUACUUGCAUGCAAAAACCA